ensembl:lncRNA
GGACUGGGUUAAACUGGGAGAGCACUGGGAGGGACUGGGGGCGUGGUGGCGGGGAGGAUGCUGGGGACAUACUGGGGACACUGGGGGUGACACUGGGGGUGACCAGGGGUACCAGGGACACUGGGGUCAUACUGGUGUCACUGGUGCCAUACUGGGGUCACACUGGUGACACUGUUGGGGACACUGGUGUCACUGGUGCCGUACUGGGGUCACACUGGUGACACUGCUGGGGACACUGGUGCCACACUGGUGUCACUGGUGUCACACUGGUGUCACUGGUGCCAUACUGGGGACACUGGUGUCCCACUGGUGUCACUGGUGUCACACUUGGGGACACUGGUGUCACACUGGUGUCACUGGUGUCACACUGGUGUCACACUGGUGACACUGUUGGGGACACUGGUGUCACACUGGUGUCACACUGGUGACACUGUUGGGGACACUGGUGCCACACUGGUGUCACUGGUGCCAUACUGGGGACACUGGUGUCCCACUGGUGUCACUGGUGUCACACUGGUGUCACUGGUGCCAUACUGGUGUCACUGGUGGCACUGGGGGUCUCAGCCGUGCCCCCUCCCCAGAUCAUCUGCCUGGACCUGGCCGAGGAGAUGGCGCUGCCCAAACUGGAGUCCUUCAAUGGGUCAGGGCUGCAUUUGGGCUGUUCCAGGGGAUUUGGGGGUCCCUGACGGGGUUUUUGAGGUGGUUUUGGGGUGUCCCUGGUGUCCCUGAGGGGUUUUUAGGGUCCCUGAGGUGUUUCUGGUGUGCCUGACGGGUUUUGGGGUGUUUCUGGGGUGUUUCUGGUGUCCCUGAGGUGUUUUUGGGGUGUCCCUGGUAUCCCUGACAGUUUCUGGGGUGUUUUUGGGGUGUUUUCAGGGUGUCCCUGUUGUCCCUGACAGUUUUCGGGGUGUUUCUGGGGUGUCUCGCUAUCCCUGACGGGUUUCGGGGUGUUUUUGGGGUGUUUUUGGGGUGUCCCUGGGGUGUCCCGGUAUCCCUGACGGUUUCGGGGUGUUUUUUGGGUGUUUUUUGGGUGUUUUUUGGGUGUUUUCGGGGUGUCCCGGUAUCCCUGACGGUUUCUGGGGUGUUUCCGGGGUGUUUUCGGGGUGUCCCUGACUGGUUUUCGGGGUGUUUUUUGGGUGUUUUCGGGGUGUCCCGGUGUCCCUGACAGUUUCGGGGUGUUUCCGGGGUGUUUCCGGGGUGUUUCCGGGGUGUUUUUGGGUGUUUUCGGGGUGUCCCUGACAGUUUCGGGGUGUUUCCGGGGUGUUUUUGGGGUGUCCCUGACAGUUUCGGGGUGUUUUUGGGUGUUUUUGGGGUGUUUUCGGGGCGUCCCGGUAUCCCUGACAGUUUCGGGGUGUUUUCGGGGUGUUUUCGGGGUGUCCCUGACAGUUUCAGGGUGUUUUCGGGGUGUUUUCGGGGCGUCCCGGUAUCCCUGACAGUUUCGGGGUGUUUUCGGGUGUUUUCGGGGUGUCCCUGACAGUUUCGGGGUGUUUUUGGGUGUUUUCAGGGUGUUUCUGGGGUGUCCCGGUAUCCCUGACAGUUUCGGGGUGUUUUUGGGUGUUUUCGGGGUGUCCCGGUGUCCCUGACUGGUUUCGGGGUGUUUCCGGGGUGUUUUCGGGGUGUUUUUGGGGUGUUUUCGGGUGUUUUCAGGGUGUCCCUGACAGUUUCGGGGUGUCCCUGACUGGUUUCCGGGGUGUUUUCGGGGUGUCCCGGUGUCCCUGACUGGUUUCCGGGG